rnacentral:rRNA from 1 species
GACGAACGCUGGCGGCGUGCUUAACACAUGCAAGUCGAACGGUAAGGCCCUUCGGGGUACACGAGUGGCGAAAGGGUGAGUAACACGUGGGUGAUCUGCCCUGCACUUCGCGAUAAGCUUGGGAAACUGGGUCUAAUACCGGAUAGGACUCCGGACUGCAUGGGCUGGGGUGGAAAGCUUUUGCGGGGUGGGAUCGGCCGGCGGCCUAUCAGCUUGCUUGUGGGGUGAUGGCCUACCCAGGCGACGAGGGGUAGCCGGCCUGAGAGGGUGACCGGCCACACUGGGACUUGGAUACGGCCAAGACUCCUACGGGAGGCAGCAGGGGGGAAUAUUGCACAAUGGGCUCAAGCCUGAUGCAGCGACUCCGCGUGAGGGAUGUUGGCCUUCGGGUUGUAAACCUCUUUCAGCAUCGACGAAGCGAAAGUGACGGUAGGUGCAGAAGAAGGACCGGCCAACUACGUGCCAGCCGCCGCCGUAA